AGGAUUGUGGCUUAUUGGUAAAGUGCUUGCCUAGCAUGCAUGAGGUACUGGGUUCAAUCCUC
rnacentral:tRNA from 1 species